rfam:Cicer arietinum chromosome Ca1, whole genome shotgun sequence.
GCCUGUGAUUAUAUUAUAUCCAAUUGUUUGAGGUGUUUUGGAGCCAAGCCCCUGUCUACAGGGAGAACCUACUUGGUGAAGGGACAUUCAUAUGACAUUACCGGAUUCAAAUGAGGC